GAUGAACGCUGGCGGCGUGCCUAAUACAUGCAAGUCGAGCGAAUGGAUUGAGAGCUUGCUCUCAAGAAGUUAGCGGCGGACGGGUGAGUAACACGUGGGUAACCUGCCCAUAAGACUGGGAUAACCCCGGGAAACCGGGGCUAAUACCGGAUAAUAUUUUGAACUGCAUGGUUCGAAAUUGAAAGGCGGCUUCGGCUGUCACUUAUGGAUGGACCCGCGUCGCAUUAGCUAGUUGGUGAGGUAACGGCUCACCAAGGCAACGAUGCGUAGCCGACCUGAGAGGGUGAUCGGCCACACUGGGACUGAGAUACGGCCCAGACUCCUACGGGAGGCAGCAGUAGGGAAUCUUCCGCAAUGGACGAAAGUCUGACGGAGCAACGCCGCGUGAGUGAUGAAGGCUUUCGGGCGUAAAACUCUGUUGUUAGGAAGAACAAGUGCUAGUUGAAUAAGCUGGCACCUUGACGGUACCUAACCAGAAAGCCACGGCUAACUACGUGCCAGCAGCCG
rnacentral:rRNA from 1 species